rnacentral:rRNA from 1 species
UUGCCAGCCCGCUCAGAAACUCAAAGGAAGUUGACGGGGCCCGCACAAGCGGAGGAGCAUGUGGUUUAAUUCGAUGAUACGCGAGGAACCUUACCUGGGCUCGAACGUAAGAUGACUGUAGGUGAAAGCUUACAUCUCUUCGGAGCAUUUUACGAGGUGCUGCAUGGUUGUCGUCAGCUCGUGCCGUGAGGUGUCGGGUUAAGUCCCAUAACGAGCGCAACCCCUACCUUUAGUUGCCAUCAGGUAAUGCUGGGGACUCUAAAGGAACUGCCUACGCAAGUAGUGAGGAAGGCGGGGAUGACGUCAAAUCAGCACGGCCCUUACGUCCAGGGCUACACACGUGCUACAAUGGCCGAUACAGAGGGCAGCUACCUGGUGACAGGAUGCAAAUCUCCAAAGUCGGUCUCAGUUCGGAUCGGAGUCUGCAACCCGACUCCGUGAAGUUGGAUUCGCUAGUAAUCGCGCAUCAGCCAUGGCGCGGUGAAUACGUUCCCGGGCCUU